CCUACGGGUGGCAGCAGUGGGGAAUAUUGGGCAAUGGGCGCAAGCCUGACCCAGCAACGCCGCGUGAAGGAAGAAGGCUUUCGGGUUGUAAACUUCUUUUCUCAGGGACGAAGCAAGUGACGGUACCUGAGGAAUAAGCCACGGCUAACUACGUGCCAGCAGCCGCGGUAAUACGUAGGUGGCAAGCGUUAUCCGGAUUUACUGGGUGUAAAGGGCGUGUAGGCGGGAAAGCAAGUCAGAUGUGAAAACCAUGGGCUCAACCUGUGGCCUGCAUUUGAAACUGUUUUUCUUGAGUGCUGGAGAGGCAAUCGGAAUUCCGUGUGUAGCGGUGAAAUGCGUAGAUAUACGGAGGAACACCAGUGGCGAAGGCGGAUUGCUGGACAGUAACUGACGCUGAGGCGCGAAAGCGUGGGGAGCAAACAGGAUUAGAUACCCUUGUAGUC
rnacentral:rRNA from 1 species